AACGAACGCUGGCGGCAUGCCUAACACAUGCAAGUCGAACGGACGGUAGCAAUACCGUUAGUGGCGGACGGGUGAGUAACGCGUGGGAACCUGCCUCGAAGUUCGGAAUAACCGCGGGAAACUGCGGCUAAUACCGGAUGUGGCCUGAGGGUCAAAGGCGCAAGUCGCUUCGAGAGGGGCCCGCGUCCGAUUAGCUAGUUGGUGGGUAACGGCCUACCAAGGCGACGAUCGGUAGCUGGUCUGAGAGGAUGAUCAGCCACACUGGGACUGAGACACGGCCCAGACUCCUACGGGAGGCAGCAGUGGGGAAUAUUGGACAAUGGGGAAACCCUGGAUCCAGCAAUGCCGCGUAGGGUGA
rnacentral:rRNA from 1 species